UAGGCGAUCCGCGGGAUGUGUGCGGGUCAGUGCCUGGGGUCCCGGGCCUAAAGCCCCUUUCUCAGCUAGCCACAAUAAACCAGCGCAAGGUUUAGUCCUUACUGGGUCACCGGCCAUCCUCUAUUAUUCAACGCUUCACAACAAAAAACACUUAUUAAUCAGCGCUGACCAGAGGCCCCUUUUGAAACAAGAGAAGAGGGGAGAGAGAGAGGGAGUGAGAGAGAGAGGGGUGAAAAGAAGAUUGAGAAGCCCUGGACAGAUCUUUCUAAAGCCAGAGCAACCAUGGGGUACUUUCCUCCAGUGGCCAAAGUUUAUUUGACACAACAAAGUUUCUAAUCAGGCCACGGAGACCUGGAUUUCUCCUCAUUUGCCUCACUCCCGGUCUCUUCCUCUGAAGAUGCUGGAGACUUUGUUGCAAGAAAGGAUGGCUUUAGGUCAUGUUGCUGAGGCCUGAUCUUAAAGAUCUAAUUGCUAUUGGAAGAGAAUCCUGUUUCCCAACUGGGCCUCCCCUCUGGAGAUGGAGCAAGGAAGACUGUCCAACUCUGCUCUGGGCACCCUGCUGAUGGAUGAGGUGUCAGGCCAGUCGUCAUGUGAGGACUGGUUUCCAAAUGCCAAGACCAUCCUCAAGGAGUUUAAUGAAUGUGGCAUCACAAGAAAAAUAUGCAUCAACAUUGAAAAAUAUGGUGCCUCCCUCUGGAACAGAGCGCAGUUAUAUUUCCUGCAUAGUAUGGUAA